rnacentral:rRNA from 2 species
GUGAGACAGGUGCUGCAUGGCUGUCGUCAGCUCGUGUUGUGAAAUGUUGGGUUAAGUCCCGCAACGAGCGCAACCCUUAUCCUUUGUUGCCAGCGGUUAGGCCGGGAACUCAAAGGAGACUGCCAGUGAUAAACUGGAGGAAGGUGGGGAUGACGUCAAGUCAUCAUGGCCCUUACGACCAGGGCUACACACGUGCUACAAUGGCGCAUACAAAGAGAAGCGACCUCGCGAGAGCAAGCGGACCUCAUAAAGUGCGUCGUAGUCCGGAUUGGAGUCUGCAACUCGACUCCAUGAAGUCGGAAUCGCUAGUAAUCGUGGAUCAGAAUGCCACGGUGAAUACGUUCCCGGGCCUUGUACACACCGCCCGUCACACCAUGGGAGUGGGUUGCAAAAGAAGUAGGUAGCUUAACCUUCGGGAGGGCGCUUACCACUUUGUGAUUCAUGACUGGGGUGAAGUCGUAACAAGGUAACCGUAGGGGAACCUGCGGUUGGAUCACCUCCUUACCU